CUCAUAACGGUUUCCCCUCAAACGGCUACGUUUUAUGUUCUCAAUUUUCUUUCUUGCUUCGCUGAGCUUCACAGAAAAAGACUGGAAAGGCCAACACCCGUUGGCAAGUGAACAGCUCUCUCUUUCCUUGUUAGGCUUCAAUCAUCAAUCUCACCUUCUUCAAUGUAUUUUCCCUCUCCCCCUCUCUCUCUCUCUCCACGGUGACAUUCCGAUUCUUAAACCUCUCCCCCACCGACGACGCCGACGAUGCAGAGGUGGCAUGCGAUCGAUCGUUCAGGUUCUAAUUCGGUGUCUGUUUCCUCUUCUCCUGUUGAAUGCUGUAACCUCAAUGUAAAGGGCGCCAUUUCUUAUCCUCAUAUUUGCCUUUGUCAAAUCCUUGGCAUUCAAGUUUGAGGUUAAAAGCAGGAACAUCUUAGCAACUGGAUUGCUAUCCUGUGAUGAUCAAUUUCCAUAUACAAUAAAUUAUUUCUUCAAAAAUGGUGUUUGGUAGAAUAGCAGAUACAUUUUCUGCCAUGACAAGCCAUUUUUUGACCUCCAAGACUUCUGCUGUUUCGUAUAUGUCGACAGGAUCGUCACCACCUCCAGCAGAAACCAUUGAUCAUGGUUUUGGUUUUGCCAACUCUGGCUACAAAAAUAAUUUGCGUCUUUCUUCAUCUCUCCAAGAUUUCUCAUCAUACCGACGACUUGAUCUUGAAGAAGGUGCUUGUAACAUUGGGAUUGAUAAGAAGCCUUAUUUGUUGCAGAGAGAAAAUGCUGGAUCAAGUUUUUCAAAGGAGAAACCAUUGUCUGGCAGAACCCCAUUUUUAUGGAGAAAGUGGGUGCGAUUGGUCGUGAUUCUUUUCUGCCUGCUACUGCUUGGUUUCCUGACUUAUCUGAUUAUAGCAUAUAUUUUUUCUUAUUGGUCUCAAGGAUAUUCCAAGUUCUAUGUUGUUCUUGAUUGUGGAAGUACUGGAACUCGAGUUUAUGUAUAUCAGGCAUCAAUUGAUCACAACAAAGAUAGAAGUCUCCCCAUUGCUCUUAAAUCACUAACAGAGGGUCUUUCUAGAAAGUCAAGUGGACGUGCCUAUGACCGAAUGGAAACUGAGCCUGGGCUUCAUUUGUUGGUACGUAAUACAUCUGGCUUAAAGGCUGCAAUAAAGCCACUUGUUCGGUGGGCUGAGAAGCAAAUCCCUGAGCAUGCUUAUAAGUCUACGUCUCUUUUCCUUUAUGCUACAGCUGGGGUUCGCAGGCUGCCAAGUACCGAUUCAAAAUGGCUUCUAGACAAGGCAUGGUCCAUACUGAAGGAAUCGCCCUUCUUGUGCCAGAGAGCGUGGGUCAAGGUUAUCAGUGGAAUGGAUGAAGCUUACUAUGGAUGGAUUGCCCUUAACUAUCAAACGGGUAUGUUGGGGAACAGCCCCAAGAAAGCAACAUUUGGUGCACUUGACAUGGGUGGCUCAUCAUUACAGGUGACAUUUGAGAGCAAGAAACCCGGGCAUAAUGUGACUGACUUAAACCUUAGGAUCGGAGCUGCUAAUCAUCACCUCACUGCCUAUUCUCUUGCAGGCUAUGGUUUAAAUGAUGCAUUUGACAGGUCUGUUGUCCAUAUCUUGAGAGGGCUUCCUAGUGCAGAUCUAGUAAGGGGGAACAUAGAAAUUAAACACCCUUGCCUGCAAACUGGCUAUAAGGAGCAAUACAUCUGUUCUCAGUGUGCUUCUAAUCAACAAAAUAGUGUGAGCCCUGUUGUUUUAGGAAGAAAUUCAGGUAAGGGAGUCAAGUCAGGAGUUCCCGUCCAGCUUAUUGGUGCCCCAAAUUGGGAAGAAUGUCGUGCACUAGCCAAAGUUGCCAUCAAUUUGUCUGAAUGGUCUAAUCAAAGUGCAGCAAUUGAUUGUGAUGUGCAACCUUGUGCUCUACCUGAUAUUUUUCCACGUCCUUAUGGUCGAUACUAUGGAAUGUCUGGCUUUUUUGUGGUUUAUCGGUUUUUUAACCUGACUUCAGAAGCUGCACUUGAAGAUGUUUUGGAGAAGGGUCGUGAAUUUUGUGAGAAGACCUGGGAAGUUGCAAGGAAAAGUGUUCCUCCACAGCCAUUUAUUGAACAAUACUGCUUUAGGGCACCAUACACAGUGUUAUUGUUGAGAGAGGGUUUACAUAUCACAGAUGACCACAUUAUUAUUGGUUCUGGAAGUAUUACUUGGACACUUGGUGUUGCUCUUUUUGAAGCUGGGAAGGCAUUUUCACCUAGACUGAGACUUCCUACUUAUCAAAUACUUCAAAUGAAGAUACAUCCGAUAUUUCUUAUUGCCAUUCUGAUUAUUUCAUUGAUUUUGCUGGUUUGUGCAAUAUCGUGUCUUGGCAAUGGGAUGCCAAGAGUUUUUCAAACACCAUAUCUUCCACUUUUCAGGCAUAACAGUGCAUCUGCUACAGCAGUACUUAGUAUCCCUUCACCAUUCCGGUUCCAACGAUGGAGUCCUAUUAAUUCUGGGGAUGGAAGAGCAAAGAUGCCACUUAGUCCAACAGUUACUGGGAGCCAACAAAGAUCAUUUGGGUUGGGACAUGGUCUGGGCAGUAGUGGCAUCCAGCUUAUAGAGUCAUCAUUAUACCCAUCAACUAGUGGUGUAUCACAUAGUUAUUCCUCAAGUAGCUUAGGGCAGAUGAUUGACAGUAAUGGCAUGGGUUCGUUCUGGUCUCCUCACAGAAGUCAGAUGCGCCUUCAGAGCAGGAGAUCACAAUCUCGAGAAGACCUUAGUUCUUCUUUGGUCGACGCGCACAUGGUGAAGGUUUAAGGAAUAGACUUCCUGAAGUUAUGGUAUGGUAACUUUCUUCUUCCCUACAUUAUGUUUUUUAAGGGAAAAGGAUUUAAACAUCUUCUUGAUGGAAAAAAGAAAAAGAGAAAAAAGAGAAAGAA
rnacentral:misc_RNA from 1 species